AGAGUUUGAUCAUGGCUCAGAAUGAACGCUGGCGGCGUGCUUAACACAUGCAAGUCGAACGAGAAAGUCCUUGCUUGCAAGGGCGAGUAAAGUGGCGCACGGGUGAGUAACACGUGGAUAAUCUACCUUCGAAUCAGGGAUAACAUCGCGAAAGUGAUGCUAAUACCAGAUAAUAUUUAAAUUAUUUAGGUAAUUUAAAUCAAAGGCAGCCUCUUCUUGAAAGCAGUUGUUUGGAGAUGAGUCCGCGUACCAUUAGCUAGUUGGUGAGGUAAAGGCUUACCAAGGCAACGAUGGUUAGCUGGUCUGAGAGGAUGAUCAGCCACACUGGAACUGACACACGGUCCAGACUCCUACGGGAGGCAGCAGUGAGGAAUUUUGCGCAAUGGGGGAAACCCUGACGCAGCAACCCGCGUGAGUGAUGAAGGCCUUUGGGUCGUAAA
rnacentral:rRNA from 1 species